AGAAUCAACGUCUGGUCGGCGUGCCUAACACAUGCAAGUCGCGACGAGAAAGGGGAGCAAUCCCUGAGUACAGUGGACGCACGGGUGAGUAACACGUGACUAACCUACCCUCGAGUAGGGGAAUAACCUUAGGGAAACCUGGGCUAAUUACCGCAUAACACGUUACGAGUCGAAAGCAGCAAUGCGCUUGGGGAGGGGUCGCGGCCGAUUAGCUAGUUGGCGGGGUAAUGGCCCGACCAAGGCAAUUGAUCGGUAUCCGGCCUGAGA
rnacentral:rRNA from 1 species